CGGCUGUCUGUGAACGGCGAACCAGGUCCUCACCAGACACUGAAUCUGCUGACAACUUGAUCUUGGACUUCUCAGCCUCCAGAACAGAGCAACACCCAUCAUCACGCAACUGAUUCGUCAGCAAGGAUGUGUCAUCUUAAAGUUGUCCAGGAUGGAUGCAUUGGCUGGGCCACCAUGGAGAUGGUCUAUUCUGUAAAUAUGAACAGUGUUCAAUCAAGAGGAUACUUGUUUAGCUUUUCAGCAUGUCUUUCCUAAAGCGAGCCUCCUUGGGAAAGGUGAUUUCUGGAUUAUAAAUCCUCGAGGCAUUUAUUGUAAGAACAGGAAUCAUGAUGCACCACUCUGCUAUUCGUGUGGCUGCUCAGCGUCAAGUCCCCAGGACCUCCACGGAGUUGACUUGAUUUGGUUUUCCACUUCCUUUUCUGAGUGAGAGCCACAUGAACUCAGAUGUGCAGGCUCACAGGAGCCCGAGUGGGCGGCCCUUUCUGUUGCUGCUUUGGUCUGCCUGGACUCAGCGGUUGUGGUGUGUGCGGAUCUGAGCCACUUCAGGGGACCCUCAGCUACACCUACCCCAUAUCCUCAAGUUUCCACUGAAACAAGAGGCCUGGGGUAAUGCUUAGGAUAGCUCGGACAGUUGCAAACCUCUGGGGCACUGGGGAGAAAUGUGGCUUGAGUUUUGGAGCAUUGACGUAUAUUUUCUAACUCCUCAUAUUUAAUCCUGAGAGUUGGGCUGGAUGUUAAAUCCUAGAGGUGGGGGGGUUUCCUAGAGGACAGUGACAUCCAAAAACUGUCCAGGGUUUUGGUGUCAGAUUUUUGACUUGAUGGAGAGUUUGGAGAGUGGCCCCUAUAUAUGAACAUUAAUAGUGCCUUUCUCAAAGGCUAAAUGAAAUGUUGUGUUCCUCCUCUACUUUGCAAAUGUUCAAUUGGCAAGUUAAGUCUUUUCACCUUGAAAGUCUUAAUUAUGCUCCCAAAUCGCCAGGGGUGAUGUUGAAAAUAUUUAGCACAGGCAACAAUGAAGCAG
rnacentral:lncRNA from 1 species